ACAGCUAAGGAUUUGCCUUGAACCCCAGAGGAGACUUGGACCCCCGCGGAACCAUUAGGGCUAUGAGAAUUCUUGUAGAUAGACGGAAUGCAUCAUGGGAAGGACGUGGACUUCACAGGGCCAGAAACGUUAGGGUUCAGGGAGAGAUGUUUGGGUUUGAACUUGACAAAACAUUUCGGUUAAUCUUCAUUAUCAACUUCAUUGGACUGAGAAAUCCCUGUGAACCCACACUGAAGGAUGAGCAAAAUACCAGAUCAAUCCAAACCAAGAAGUAUUUUACCAGACACAUAGCCGGAGUCUUCAAAACUGUUAAGAUCCUGAUGAAUUCUAAGGACUUCUAAGAAACUAAAGAGACAAGAUGGCAUGGUGUGAUAGUCUCUGGAUGGGAUCCUGGUGCAGAAAGACUGGUAAAAUUCACAUCAGUGGAGAGGCCAGCCAGUCACCGCCCUUCAGCAAACUACAGUUUUUCUCUGGCAAAGUGCAGCAGAACCCCCAGGAGGCAGCCCACUGGGAAAUUUCUGAGGCCCUGGGAUUUUGAACAGCAGCUCUUCCGACAUGUCAUUUACCCUAGAGAAGUAAGUAAAUUAGACAGUGAAACAGAGGAUGCAGUCUGUCUCAUCGCAGACCUAAAUUGAAUUUAUAAAUAAAAAUAAGAAGAGGAGAA